rnacentral:lncRNA from 1 species
UAAAACUAAGCGUGAUGUAAAUAUAUAGGUUUAUAUAUAUUUAUAUAUAAAUGAUCAAGGUGACGAGAAAAGUUGAAAUCCGGGUGACUGUGUGGCUGUCCAUCCGUCUAUCCGUGCAAGUUAUAACUUGGGAGCAUUUUCUUGAAGUCGGAGGAGAAGAUUUGGAGAAACCUAUAGACGCGGAGUUAUUCCGAUCUUCAAUUCAUGUUACAAUCACUUUCAUUGGUUCUGGGAUACUAUACAUUAUCUCGUUGAAACAGCACUUCAAAUAAUGCUAUAUACUGCCUUACUGACUGUUGCGUCUUGGAAUCGGUUUCCUCUAUUUGGAAUAACCAAGUCGUGUUUGGUUUGUGACACCACGUGCAUGGAUAUUUCCCUUACCCAAAUAUUAAUGAACGACAUACAUAGACGAAUUGUCGGUUUUCUCAAUCAACACUGAUAUUGCAGAAUGGCGGAAAAUAAUAAACGCAACAAAUAAAGGCAUACACAGAAUAACAACUACUAAUAUCUUGACAACCAAAGAUUUGACAGGGAAAAUUACUUUGGAAACCAGGACUACUGACGGAGUCCACGUCAAAAGCAGCCAUGAAUACCCACCAGUGUACUCCUUCAGCACAAGAAAAGAAAGAAAUCCCUAAGUCAAAUAAUGAAAAGUGAGUACUAGACAAAGUUAGAAAAAAGUCCUUUGAACGCUUAAAUCUUUAAAACUACCCAAGGGAUUUUGAUGCGGUGAUUGAAGAGGAAGAUAGAGUGAUUGACCGAUCCAUUAAAUAGUGGAGAAAUAGUGUACGAGAUUUUUCAAAUUAAUGUACUAAAUAUUGUACACAUUGAAAAUGUCUACAGAAAACUCCGCAAUGGUAUAUGUUGUAUAUAUGUAUAUGUUU